CUCUGUCUUUAUUGCGCAUCUAAAGAACAUGAAGUAAAAGACUGCCCUAACCUUACCAAGAUAAAAAGAGUGGGGCUCAAAAGAGAUUAUGUUGAAGGCACUCGUUGAUUCCGGUGCUUCAAGCAACUUUAUUGAUUUAGAUGUGGUGUAUAGGAAUGAAAUAGCAUUAAAGAAAAAACAAAAAUCA